UCUAUCUCACAUGCCAAAUUAUUAAUUUUAAAAAAUCUUUUUUCAUGGGACUUCCUGAUCCAUUUGCUAAGGUGAUAGUUGAUGGAUCUGGGCAAUGCCAUUUUAUAGAUACUGUGAAGAAUAUGCUCGAUCCAAAGUGGAAUCAGCAUUAUGACCUGCUGGAGUGUACUCGGCUCACUGCACACUCCCUGCCUCUAGCUCCCAUGGUUCCCCUGCCUCGGCCUGCGAGCUGCCUGGGAUUGUGGCCACGCGCCACCACCCCUGCCUGGUUUUUUGUCCUUUGGCUGGAGACGGGGUUUCGCCAUGUUGGCCAGGCUGGUCUCCAGCUCCUGACCUCGAGUGGUCUGCCCGCCUCGGCCUCCCGAGGUGCUGGGACUGCAGACGGAGUCUCGCUCACUUGGUGCUCGGUGUUGCCCGGGCUGGAGUGCGGUGGUGUGGUCUGGCUCGCUGCAGCCUCCGCCUCCCAGCCGCCUGCCUUGGCCUCCCAGGGUGCUAGGAUUGCAGCCUCUGCCCAGCUGCCGUCCCGUCUGGGAGGUGGGGAGUGCCUCUGCCUGGCCGCCCAUCGUCUGGGAGGUGAGGAGCACCUCUGCCCGGCCGCCGCCCCAUCUGGGAAGUGAGGAGUGUCUCUGCCUGGCCGCCCAUCGUCUGGGAUGAAGUGAGGAGCGCCUCUGCCUGGCCGCCCCUUCUGGGAAGUGAGGAGCGUCUCUGCCCAGCCGCCCCGUCUGGGAAGUGAGGAGAGCCUCUGCCCGGCCACCCCGUCUGAGAUGUGAAGGGCGCCCCUGCCCAGCCACCACCCCUUCUGGGAAGUGAGGAGCGCCUCUGCCCGGCCGCCCCAUCUGGGAAGAAGUGAGGAGCGCCUCUGCCCGGCCGCCCCGUCUGGGAAGUGAGGAGUGCCUCUGCCCGGCCGCCUAUCGUCUGGGAAGUGAGGAGUGCCUCUGCCCGGCCGCCCCGUCUGGGAAAUGAGGAGCGCCUCUGCCCGGCCACCACCCCGUCUGGGAAGUGAGGAACACCUCUGCCCGGCCACCAUCCUGUCUGGGAAGUGAGGAGCGUCUCUGCCUGGCUGCCCCGUCUGGAAUGUGAGGAGCGCCUCUGCCUGGCCGCCCUGUCUGGGAAGAAGUGAGGAGCGUCUCUGCCCGGCCGCCCCGUCUGGGAAGUGAGGAGAGCCUCUGCCUGGCCGCCCCAUCUGGGAAGUGAGCGCCUCUGCCCGGCCGCCCUGUCUGGGAUGUGGGGAGCGCCUCUGCCCAGCCGCCCUGUCUGGGAGGUCUACCACGGAGGCCAGACGCAAUGUGGGGGCUGGACGUGGUGGCUCACGCCUGUAGUCCCAGCACUCUGGGAGGCCGAGGCGGGUUGAUCACUUGAGGCUAGGAGUUCGAGACCAGCCUGGCCAACAUGGCGAAACAUAUGAAAAAUACAACAGACAAACCAACCAACCAACCCAGCAACAACAAAACAGGAGGUGAAGCGAAAUCUGCAAGAGUCCUACUCGCUCAAGGCCUGCAUACAGGAAAGAAGCAGGGGAAAAGCAUUACAAACAGCUUUUGUUCUACAGCAUUUUAAAAUAUAACAGGUAUAUUGAAAAGUUUGAUUCAGUUACAAUCGGUGUAUAGAAUCACAAGAAGAUCCAUAAGAAACAAGGUGCUGGAUUUCUCCAUUGUGUUCGUCUUCUUUCCAGUGCCAUCAACCACCUCAAAGACACUGGUUAUCAGAGGUUGGAUUUAUGCAAACUUGGGCCAAAGGACAGUUAGAAGACAGUAGUAAGUCUUCAGUCCAGAGACGAAAUUGGCACAGGAGGAGAAGUUGUGGACUGCAGUCAUUUAUUUGAUAAUGGUUUACCAGACAAGUAAGAGCUAUCAGCUUCCCAGUUUGCACAAUUCAUCAAGAAAUAAUGCGGGGCCACUGGGACAAAUGAUGAGGCAUCUCCCGGAAGCUUAACUUCCUAUCCAUCCCAUCUCUUGGACAGACGAUGCCAGUUAAUUACUUUGAAUGUUCUGGAGAUUGAACUGAAGUCUCCUGUUGAACUGCUAAAUGUCCAGCCUCUUCUGAUGACUCUGGAGGCAGAGGUGUGUCCCCGUGCUGGAUGGUGGGAGGUUCUACAUCAUUACCUGGCCGAGAGUUGAUGGACUGGAGAAGUUUCCACCUCUGCACUAGGCUCUGCUGCUAUGGUGAGCUGCACGUCUGGAGGCUUAACAGAGACAUUGGGAAAAUCUGAAUGCUGCAUUUGAUGGUGACCUGGAGGUGAAACUGGGACUUCAUGAUGUUCUGGGGGCUGAGCUGGGGUCUCCUGCUGGGCUGGAGAAGAUUCAACCUCCCCAGAAGACUCAGAAGGCUGAGCUGGCUGCUCCUGUUCACUGGGGGAAAGUUCAGGCUCCAUAGGAGGACCUGGAGGCUCAGUUGGGGUCUCCUGUUGGGUUGCAGAAGGUUCCACCCCCUCUGGAGGCUGAACUGGGGCCCCCUGCUGGGCUUGGGAAGAUUCUGUCUCAUUUUUAGGCUCUGAAGUCAUCGUAGCCUUCACAUCUGCAGGUUUAACUGUAAUGUUGGGCAAGUUAUAAUGAGCUUGAUCCUCACCUGGAGGUUGAACUGUCACUUCAUGAUUCAGUGGAGUUUGAGCUAGACUCUCCACAGAGGACACUGGAGGCAGAGCUGGGGUCUCCUGCUGGGUUGAAGGUUCUACCUCCUGAGGGAGCUGUGGAAGCUGUGCUGGGGCUUCUUCCUGGAGUGAAGAGGACUGGAUGUCUUUCAGGGUCUCUGGAUUUUGAGUUUUGGGCUCUAGAUGGAAUUGAGAAAGUCCAACUUGCUCAGGAGGCCCUGGAGGCUCAUCUGCAUUCACCCGGGGUUCUGGAGGCAGGCUGCCCGGAUACAGUGUGUCCAUACUCGAAAAUUCAUCCUGCAGAGUCUGUUUCUGACGCUGAGGUUUGGAUAAUUGGUGUGGAAUCCCAAAAAUCUCAGCAAGGCUCCAAUACUCAGCUAGACCUUUCUUCACAUUCUUGGGCAAAACAACAAAUUUGGUUGGUUUUGAAAUCUUACUGUCUAGUCAAACAGGUAUUUCAUCUGCCUGAUGACCUGCAGCCCAAUCUAGAUCUGCAGUUCGAACCUUACUUUUGAGGCAAGGAAGCUGAACUGGGGUCUGGUUCUGAUCCCCGUCCAGCAGUGGAACCACCUCUGGGAGCCUUUCUUGUGGAAUCAGCUUGUCAUUUAAAUCCUGGUGUGCAGCCAAGAACUGCUCUGGCCCCAGGGGCAGCUCUCCAGCUGAAUCCGUGUCCAGGAAUGGAACCAAAUUUUCAGUCAAUUCCUGAGGCAGGGCUGACACCUGUGAGGAAGCAGAGGGCCCCAUGUAAUCAAAGUCCCCCGGGGACUGUCCGGGGACUAGGUGCAUGGGGAGAUUCCCAUGGGAGAUAGGAGGAGCGGGAAGACCAGGGCUCAGCUAGAUCUUUCUUCACAUUCUUGGGCAAAACAAAUUUGGUUGGUUUUGAAAUCUUACUGUCUAGUCAAACAAGUAUUUCAUCUGCCUGAUGACCUGCAGCCCAACCUAGAUCUGCAGUUUGAACCUUACUUUUGAGGCAAGGAAGCUGAACUGGGGUCUGGUUCUGAUCCCCGUCCAGCAGUGGAACCACCUCUGGGAGCCUUUCUUGUGAAGUCAGCUUGUCAUUUAAAUCCUGGUGUGCAGCCAAGAACUGCUCUGGCCCCAGGGGCAGCUCUCCAGCUGAAUCCGUGUCCAGGAAUGGAACCAAAUUUUCAGUCAAUUCCUGAGGCAGGGCUGACACCUGUGAGGAAGCAGAGGGUCCCAUGUAAUCAAAGUCCCCCGGGGACUGUCCGGGGAGUAGGCGCAUGGGGAGAUUCCCAUGGGAGAUGGGAGGAGCGGGAAGACCAGGGCUCAGCUAGAUCUUUCUUCACAUUCUUGGGCAAAACAACAAAUUUGGUUGGUUUUGAAAUCUUACUGUCUAGUCAGACAAGUAUUUCAUCUGCCUGAUGACCUGCAGCCCAAUCUAGAUCUGCAGUUUGAACCUUACUUUUGAGGCAAGGAAGCUGAACUGGGGUCUGGUUCUGAUCCCCGUCCAGCAGUGGAACCACCUCUGGGAGCCUUUCUUGUGAAGUCAGCUUGUCAUUUAAAUCCUGGUGUGCAGCCGAGAACUGCUCUGGCCCCAGGGGCAGCUCUCCAGCUGAAUCCGUGUCCAGGAAUGGAACCAAAUUUUCAGUCAAUUCCUGAGGCAGGGCUGACACCUGUGAGGAAGCAGAGGGUCCCAUGUAAUCAAAGUCCCCCGGGGACUGUCGGGGGAGUAGGUGCAUGGGGAGAUUCCCAUGGGAGAUGGGAGGAGCGGGAAGACCAGGGCUCAGCUAGAUCUUUCUUCACAUUCUUGGGCAAAACAACAAAUUUGGUUGGUUUUGAAAUCUUACUGUCUAGUCAAACAAGUAUUUCAUCUGCCUGAUGACCUGCAGCCCAACCUAGAUCUGCAGUUUGAACCUUACUUUUGAGGCAAGGAAGCUGAACUGGGGUCUGGUUCUGAUCCCCGUCCAGCAGUGGAACCACCUCUGGGAGCCUUUCUUGUGAAGUCAGCUUGUCAUUUAAAUCCUGGUGUGCAGCCAAGAACUGCUCUGGCCCCAGGGGCAGCUCUCCAGCUGAAUCCGUGUCCAGGAAUGGAACCAAAUUUUCAGUCAAUUCCUGAGGCAGGGCUGACACCUGUGAGGAAGCAGAGGGUCCCAUGUAAUCAAAGUCCCCUGGGGACUGUCGGGGGAGUAGGUGCAUGGGGAGAUUCCCAUGGGAGAUGGGAGGAGCGGGAAGACCAGGGCUCAGCUAGAUCUUUCUUCACAUUCUUGGGCAAAACAACAAAUUUGGUUGGUUUUGAAAUCUUACUGUCUAGUCAAGUAUUUCAUCUGCCUGAUGACCUGCAGCCCAACCUAGAUCUGCAGUUUGAACCUUACUUUUGAGGCAAGGAAGCUGAACUGGGGUCUGGUUCUAUCCCCGUCCAGCAGUGGAACCACCUCUGGGAGCCUUGCUUGUGGAGUCAGCUUGUCAUUUAAAUCCUGGUGUGCAGCCAAGAACUGCUCUGGCCCCAGGGGCAGCUCUCCAGCUGAAUCCGUGUCCAGGAAUGGAACCAAAUUUUCAGUCAAUUCCUGAGGCAGGGCUGACACCUGUGAGGAAGCAGAGGGCCCCAUGUAAUCAAAGUCCCCUGGGGACUGUCCGGGGAGUAGGCGCAUGGGGAGAUUCCCAUGGGAGAUGGGAGGAGAGGGAAGACCAGGGCUCAGGCGGCCCCAGAGGGUUAGAGGUUAGCUGGAGCAGGUCCUUGACCCACACCAGAGGCUGAGCCCCCUUGACUAGUAGACACAAUAGUUGCCACGUAAGGAAGGGCCAUGGGCCCCAGAAACGCUGCCAAGACAUGACACACGCUAGUGCUGCGCACUCAAUGGGAGCCAUUCUGGCAGCCCCGAGAUGCUCAUGCCCCUUAUAAGCAUGCGCCCCACCCUGUCUUUGUGACACCUUUAUUUAUGCCACCUUUAUUAGGCUCGGGUCCAGAUCUGUUCCAUGUUACCAGGGCAAUCUUACGUCACAAUCUCGCUCAAGUGAUCCUCCCACCUCAGCCUCCUGAGUAGCUGGGACUACAGGAUAUGCCACCACACCCAGCUGAUUUUUGUGUUUUUUGUAGAGACAAGGUCUCCCUAUGAUGUCCAGGCUGGUCUCAAACUCCUAGGCUCAAGCGAUCCUCCCACCUCAGUGUCCCAAAUUGCUGGGAUUACAGGGAUGAGCCACCAUGCCCAGCCAAUCCAGCCAUCUUGCAGCCAAUCCUCCAACCCCAAUUAAGCCUUCAGAUGACUAUAGCCCAAGUUAGUAUCUUGACUAUAAACUCAUGACAGAUCCUAAGCUAGAACCACUCUUCUAUGCUGCUCCUGAAUUCCUAACCCAUAUACAGUGUGUGAGAUCAUAAACACUUAUUGUUGUUUUAGGCCUCAAAUUUUGGAGCAAUUUAUUAUGCAGCAAUAGGUGACUAAAACACACAAUAAAGUUGCUGUCAUUACUAUUAUAAAGUACUUCCUGAUUUGGAGCUGAAAUCCACUUUCUUGUAAUUGCCACCCUGUCUUCCAGUUCCGUCUUUUUGGGCCACCUAGAAAAAAUACAAUCUCUCUUCCUCAUGGUCAAAAUGUUUGGUGCCAGUUUUCUUGCCAAUAAUUUAAUUCAUCAGACAUUUGCUGAAGAGUGAUCACUGUGCCAGGCAGUAGGCAUGCAAAGAUAAGUAGGACGAGGUCCCUGCCUAGCCACACACUCAAAACAUUCUUCCACAGGAGGUGUGCUGUAAUGAAGGGACCUGACUCCCAGUGCAGGAGAAGGAGGUCCAAAUGCAGGUGUGGCUGGUUCUGCUUACAGAGGUGAGGGAAGGCUUCUCAGAAGAGGUGGCAGGCACUGAGGCCUAAGGGAUGAAUAGGCGUUCUCCAGGAUGACAGGAGGGGAAGGACUAACAAGCAGAAGCUACAGGCAGAAGACCACCCUGACACUAACCACUUUCUUCCGCAGGGCACACAUCUCCUCUCCUCUUGUCCAACUUUUGAGUCCUCUCCCACCCCCUCCCAAUCUUGGUAAUUCCACUCAGAACACACGCUUUUCUGUCACAUGAUGACAUCUAGAGGGAGCCAGCCCUCCUCCAGGGUGGUCCGGCCAGUGUGGAGUGCAGUUGGCUCUCACCUUUCUUUUUCUGGAAGCUCCGCUUGGUCCAGACUUGUCUGAGGUUUUUUGGCCUCCACAUCCUUCAACUGACUCAUGCUGGGCCUGCAGGCAUCUGGACUGCAAAGUCAUUUUUCACACGUGCUCCUGGGAAACCACAUCUCUUUGUACUUUGUACUUCUGCUGUUGUUUUGUUUUCACAAUUUUUCAUGGGUGUUUUGAAGUUCAAUAAUUUGAUCUAUGCAAACUGCUCAUCUCAGCUCCUGGUUGGCAGGGACCAUGUGGAAGCAAAUUGAGCCACCAAAAAACCCACUUUAGAACACGCGCUGGAAACAGAAACCAUGUGUCAUUCUAAUGCCAUUGUGGUUGGGAGUGAUUCAGACUCAUUGCAUCUCCUUCCAGCCUUCAAAGAUCUCACGGGAUAAGAGCCUGGCUUGGAGUUGAAGACACCUUCUAUGAAGGAAAGGCUUUGGCAGGGGGUGAGGGGGGUGGGCUGUGAUACUUUGAAGGAGCUGAGCACAGACGGAAGGAAAUUGGAAGGGGAUGUUUGUCUGGCUCCUCAUGGCUCCCACCUGCCCCCAUCAGGAAGAAUCAGGCCAUUGUCUAGGUAGAACUCUUGGCUUGUUUAUCUUCUCAGACCCAGCUUAGUACAAGGUUUCACUCAGUUUUCUUUCUACCCAAAAAAUGACCACAGGAAAGAGUGACUUGCCUUUGCCAAAUGUCCAGUCCAUACUCUCCUUUCCCAUUUCUCUGCCUCUUUCUCCCAUUAUUGGCUUCUAACAGAAAAGAAGAACAAGCUUCCCUUUGGUCCCAUCAAAGAUAACAUGUGGACAUUCAUUCAGGCGUUCAUUCCUUUAACUAGCAUUUAUUGGGUUCCUGCUAUGUUCCUGGCAUUGUUAUUGGUACUGGUGACCCUAGUGUAUAAGACACAAUCCCUGCUGUCAAGAGGUCACAGUUCUGGAAGGAACCCAGCAGUACUGGAGGCAGCGCUAGUGGAGAAUGGGAGCACAUAGAAGAGGCAUUUGACCCAGCUUUGGAAAGAAUUGGAAAAGGCUUUAAAGUAGAGUAAAAGUUUGCCAGAAAGAAUAAUCCUUAUUACAGCUUUUUUAAAGCGUCUUCUACAUGCCAAGCACUGUGCUAAAAUCUCCCUAUAUAUAUUGUUUUAUUUUAAUCCUCACAACUCUAAGAGGUCACUACUGUAAUUAUUCCAACUUCACAAAUGAAGAAAGUGAGAUUUAGCAAGGUCACCUUGGUGGGGCGUGGUUGCUCACACCUAUAAUCCCAGGAUUUGGGAAGCCGAGGCAGGAGGAUCACUUAAGUUUAGGGGUUCGAGACCAGCUUGGGCAACAUAGUGAGUCCCCUGUCUCUACAAAAAGAAAAAAAAAUAGCUGGAUAUGGUAGCAUGCACUUGUCGACCUAGCUACUUGGGAGGCUGAGAUGGGAGGAUGGCUUGAGCCCGGGAGGUUGAGGCUGCAGUGAGCCGUGAUCAUGCCAUUGCACUCUAGUCUGGGUGACAGAACGAGACCCUUUCUCAAAUAAAUAAAUAAAUAGGCUGAGCAUGGUGACUCAGGCCUGUAAUCCCAGCACUUUGGGAGGCCAAGGCACGUGUAUUGCUUGAGGUCAGGAGUUCAAGACCAUCCUGACCAAAAUGGUGAAACCUCGUCUCUACUAAAAAUACAAAAAUUAGCUGGGCGUGAUGGCACAUGCCUGUAGUCCCAGAUACUAGGGAGGCUGAAGAAGGAGAGUUGCCUGAACCCAGGAGGCAGAGGUUGCACUAAGCCAAGAUCGCAUCACUGCACUGCAGCCUGGGUGACAGAGUGAGACACUGUCUCAAAAAAAUACUAAUAAUAAAUAAAUAAAUAAAUAAAGUCAACCUGCUCACCUCUUUACUAAGAAUAAAUAGCAGAAGUGAGAAAUAGAUGCAGCUUUUCCUGACUGUGGAGCCCAUUCUCUUACCCAAGGCUGCUAUUUACAGUCGUGCAGGUUGUACAUUGCACAAUUCCAAUGCUGGCCCUGCACUCAGUGAGCCAUUAUAGAUGGGAAGGGUAUCCAGGCAGAAGGGGCCUACUUGGCAGAAAUAUGAAAAAGCAACCUAUAUUCAGGGAACUGACCCCAUACAGCCAUGUCAGAGGCUACAGAACUCCUUGAAGAUGGGCAGCUCCUCUGCACCUCCAGUGAUUGUUUACAGAACUGACCAAUAGUGUCUUGGGAGAGCUCCUGGGGUUUUGCUUUUUGUUUGUGUUUGUUUUGCUUUUGAGACAGGGUCUUGCUCUGUCACCCAGGCUAGAGGGCAGUGGUGCAAUGACAGCUCACUGCAACCUUGACCUCCCAGGCUCAAGCUAUUCUCCCGCCUCAGCCUCCAGAGUAACUGUGACUAUAGGCAUGUACCACCACACUCAGCUAAUUUUUAUUUUUGUAGAAAUGGGGGGUCUCACUAUGUUGCCCAGGCUAGUCUGUAACUCCUGGCUUUAAGCGACCCUCCUGCCAUGGCCUCCCAAAGUGCUGGGAUUACAGGCAUAGCCACCAUGCCAGGCCAGGCUUUGCAUUUGGUGUAGAGACCCAAUCCUUCCUUCUUACAGAGCUGUGGAGCUCUCAACAGGAUGUGCAUAUUUCUGAACUGCUGACCAUGCAAACAUUCAAGCACAUAGGAUGCAGGAGGUCCUGAGUCUCCAAACUGCUCAGUGUCCUACGAAUGGCCAAUCAGCUUCUCAUGCAUAGGCGCCAAACAUAACCUGCCAAACAAGCCAGUUCAGUAUCUCAGCCACCCCAACUUCUUUGCAGAAGUAGUUUCAGCAGCAAAGAAUGGUCUGAGAAAAAUGGGCACAUCCAGGGUGAAUGCCUACAACACUCCAGGUGCUCAGCAAAAGUGAUCUCUUCCACUCUCACAGCUUUAUGAGACAUCAUCUUUCAUUUUGCCGAUGAGGAAACUGAGGUGCAGGGAUCAAUUAACUUACAUAGGUUACGUGUGCAACAAGCAGCCACGAUUCUCACCAGAAUGUUUCUAGUGCCACAGCCUCUAUGCUUCUAUCCUAACGUGGGCUCUCAAAAGGUACCUGGAAAAGGGCAGGAAACAGCUUAUAUGGCUCCUAAAAUGCCUGACAGCAUGUAUGUGGCAGAGUCUCUCUCUUUUUUUUUUUUUUUUUUGAGACGGAGUCUCACUCUGUCGCCCAGGCUGGAGUGCAGUGGUGCAAUCUUGGCUCACUGCACAUUCUGCCUCCCGGGUUCACGCCAUUCUCCUGCCUCAGCCUCCUGAGUAGCUGGGACUACAGGCGCCCGCCACCACACCCAGCUAAUUUUUUGUAUUUUUAGGAGAGACGAGGUUUCACCGUGUUAGCCAGGAUGGUCUCGAUCUCCUGACCUCGUGAUCUGCCCUCCUCGGCCUCCUAAAGUGCUGGGAUUAUAGGCAUGAGCCACUGCACCCAGCCCUCUACUAAGGUACCCGGAAAAGGGCAGGAAACAGCUUAUAUGGUUCUAAAGUGACUGAGAGCUUGUAUGUGGCAGAAUCUCUCCCUACUUUUAAUUUUAUGUAUUUUUCUAGAACCUAUGUCAUCAAUCUCAGAGGUCAGAGACCCCUCCUCAGGUGGAGAGGCUGCUUCCAGACAUGAUUCCACCAGAGCCUUUUCUCACUGUGCAAUAGUUUGUUGUUGACAGAGUAGAAUAAAUUAUUAAAUGCUUUUCUGGAA